rnacentral:rRNA from 1 species
GACGAACGCUGGCGGUGUGCUUCACACAUGCAAGUCGAACGAGGUAGCAAUACCUAGUGGCGGACGGGUGAGUAACGCGUGGGAAUCUGCCUUUAGAUGGGGGAUAACGGGUCGAAAGACUCGCUAAUACCGCAUAUGACGAAAGUUGAAGGGAGUAAUCCGUCUAAAGAUGAGCCCGCGUCGAUUAGCUAGUUGGUAGAGUAAAAGCCUACCAAGGCGACGAUCGGUAGCUGGUCUGAGAGGAUGAUCAGCCACAAUGGGAACUAGAGACACGGCCCAUACUCCUACGGAGGCAGCAGUGGGAAUUUACGCAAUGGGCGAAAGCCUGACGUAGCGACACCGCGUGAGCGAAGAAGCCCCUUGGGGUGUAAAGCUCUGUCAGCUGGAACGAAAAAAAUGACGGUACCAGCAGAGGAAGC